rfam:Culex pipiens quinquefasciatus supercont3.215 genomic scaffold, whole genome shotgun sequence.
GCCCGUGUGGAUCAAUCGUACCGCGCACUGGACUCACAAUCCAGAGGUCGCAGGUUCGAAUCCCGCGGCGGGCG